rnacentral:rRNA from 1 species
UACGGAGGAUUCGAGCGUUAUCCGGAUUUAUUGGGUUUAAAGGGAGCGUAGGCGGGUUGUUAAGUCAGUUGCGAAAGUUUGCGGCUCAACCGUAAAAUUGCAGUUGAUACUGGCAUCCUUGAGUACAGUAGAGGUAGGCGGAGUUCGUGGUGUAGCGGUGAAAUGCUUAGAUAUCACGAAGAACUCCGAUUGCGAAGGCAGCCUGCUGGACUGUAACUGACGCUGAUGCUCGAAAGUGUGGGUAUCAAACAGG